rnacentral:lncRNA from 1 species
UAUGUUCAUAAAUAUUCAAUUUUUGUUUCUUUUCAUUAGCCGAAUAAUCUGCAUAGUCUCCCUGUCUCUUCUCCUAUCGGCACGCCUGCUCUCAUGAAUUUCUGCUUCUGUCGACGUCUCCGCUGAUGCUGCCGAUGGUACUAAGCGCAUUGCUCAGGCAGCUUAUGAUGAAGAAUACGAGACCCAGCAACCUUUGAUUGAAUCACCAACACCAGAGGCACCGCAAAGUCCCGUAGAGCAGGUGACUCUGCCUUUAAGGUCCCGUAGUUCAGAUAAACCAUUCGAAGGUGAGCAGCAGACUGCAGGAGAAGUGGAUGUUGAGGCUGAAGAAGAGCAGGUUGUUCGUGAGGAGGAGAAAGUGGUAGAGCUGCGAGGAGACGACACUGAAAAGGUGGUAGAAGAAGAGGUGGGGGUUGUUGUGCAGGGAGUUGACAAAGAAGUGGCUACUGGUGAACAAGAAGCUGUACCUGGAGAGGAUGAGGAAUAUGAAUACGAAGAGAUCGAAGUUGAGGAAGAGGUUCCUGAAGAAGCCAGUCCCCAGGGGGCUGUUAUCACCGGAGAAGAAGAAGAUUUUUGGGCAAACGAUGAAAAUUCUGCAGGUAAUGCCGGAGCUUCAGAAGUGGUUGAAGUUGAGGAGAUUCAAGAGUAAUAAUUGAGGGGUGGACAUUUUGAAGAAAUCAAUCAUUACAGAGACUAUGAACUAGGCAAAUGAGAUGUUGUCUUCAGAGAAGAAUUAUUAUAUCAGUGAAAAUGCCGUUGAACUCAGUCAUUCAAAUUUAUCACAAGAAGCUUGUGCGGUAACAAAACUUGUAAGGCACAACACAAAAUAUUUAGAAAAAUUCCCCAAAUAUAAAACUCUCAAUUACAAAUUCUUCAAAUUUAAAAAAUACAUUUCAAAAUAAAUAUUUAGAAUUUUAUCCAUAAAGUAUAAGAACAUUUAUAAUAGUCAAAGCUGUUCAAAGGUCUUGUGUACAGGGAACAUUGUUAAAUCAACAUGGAAAUGUUAUAAUGGAUUUGGAAUAGAAUUUUAACGAAAAAUGUUGGUGACUUACUUCGUUUAAAAUUUCGAGACAAGCAUGAACUUUUCGAGACAGCUGGUGAAGUUCGUCUGGCACCAGCAUCAAUUGGUAGGUCAAUAUUAAUUAUAAAUGUUUCACGUUGCUGUGAAGAAAUCUGUACCUUUCAUAAUUUUUAUUCCUAAUCAGUUUUGCCAGCUUUAUGGGGUUUGUUUCGAAGAGAGAAAAUAAUUUUUGAAUCUAACGAGUCUAAUUAAGAGAGGCAUGACUAAUUUUAAAACAUUGCCAUGUCCUCCGAUGUACAGAAUGAUGGUAUAAAUUCGUUAGGUGUAUGUUUUUAAUCAUUUAUAUUCAACGUUUGCAACAUCCACACAUUAUGAGUCACAACUUAUCAUCAUGUUGAGCCUCAAGGCCUACCUGCUUUGAGCAUAAAUGUCUUUAAAGCAUGAAUGCAAACAUGUCUUGUAUGCUUUCUGAAAUUAAGGAUAAGCUCUAUUAUGACCAGGGCACAAGCGUUUUUUUAUUCAUCUUUUUCAUAAAUUAAUGAGUAAACCAAUUCCUGAUCCAGAGCUGAUGCAUCUUUAUGAGUUACAUUAAUUAUCGUUAUAAGUCAAGGAUAACAGCGUGGAAAUGAUUGUCGUGGAUCAGUGGAUUUCAGAGACCUUCGAAUCAUUUUUAGAAUGAAGUUCCCAUGUCAUGUUUCCCUAUUUCCUAAUGAACAAUGUCCUAAUGUAGAUGUCCUCUGUUUGUGUGAGCCGUUUUUAACUCAUAUAGGUGUAGGCGUCUAUGCUAAUAAGAAGUUUCUGCCUUAGGAAAACCUCCUGAAGUGUCAACCUAUGCCUUGUAAAGUAUGGCAUGAGAUUAAAAUUAAUAAUUUUCAAUAUUACCCCGAUCCAACCUGAAUUAUUUCAGGAUCUGGGAAAAUAAAAGCAGGUGGAAUAAAAAACUGGUAUGCAUAAACUUCUUUCCUUAUGAUAUUAGGAGGGGCAGACAGGAGUUUCAGCCUUCAAAUAAUCGGUGUUUUCGCGAUAGUAAAGAUGUUUGUUAUUCUUUUGUUGUUGUGCUAUUGAUGUAGUAGCGUCGCCCAUUGAUGGGAAAUUCUUGAAGAAACAUCAAUAAUCGAAUAAAAAUCCACUUAA